UACGGAGGAUGCAAGCGUUAUCCGGAUUUAUUAGGUUUAAAGGGUGCGUAGGCGGACUUGUAAGUCAGCGGUGAAAUACUACAGCUUAACUGUAGAACUGCCGUUGAUACUGUGAGUCUUGAGUAUAGUUGAGGUAGGCGGAAUGUGUAGUGUAGCGGUGAAAUGCUUAGAUAUUACACAGAACACCGAUUGCGAAGGCAGCUUACUAAGCUAUAACUGACGCUGAGGCACGAAAGCAUGGGGAGGCAAACAGGAUUA
rnacentral:rRNA from 1 species